CGCUGUUGUGUUACGCCGACAGUGGAUACAUGGCGGAGGAGCUGGCUCAGUUAAAGGGCGGGUCUGGACUGGUUUAACGUUACCUCGGUGUUUUCAAUGUACAGUGACAAGCCCACCUUUCUGAGCCUCACACACAUGGCCAAGAAGAGAAUUCGGCUUCCUUCUGGACUGUGCUGUCCUCCCCCUUAAGAACAGAUCCAGUUGUGGGAAGCACAGAGAAAGCGAUAUGGGCGUGUCCGUGUAUUCAAUAUGCUGCAGGCCUGGAGGAUUACUUCAAUUACCCACAAAGUUGUGACAAAUUUUAAAAAGACAAGAAAACAUUAUAAAAGCUGGUUGUUACAACACAGUGAUGUUGCUCAAGCCAAUGCAGCAUGACUGCUGUGAGGUAUGCUUUCAGGAGACACAGUGAGACUGCUAUGAAAGUUUUUGUUUUUUUUAUUAUUGAUCACUUCUUCAGUCUAAAGUGUCGAAAAAUGUCCAUCACAGUUUUCCGAGGCUCAAAAUAAAGUCUGCUUCAUUUGUUUGACCAGCAGUCCAGAAUCCAAAUAUAUUCAUUGCUUUAUGGGCAGCAGAGAAAGUAACUAACUGUCACUUUUGAGAUGGUGGAAUUAGCUCAUUUUUGCCAUUUUUGGCAACAUAUAAACAUCUCAAACUAUUCACUGAUAAUGAAAAUAUUUCUUUAUUUAUUUUCUGUCUGUUGACCAAUUGUGGUAGAAUGUACUGGACUGGCCUUCAUACUUGGUAUGCUUCAUAUUGUAAGAAUCUGGUGCCCAGGGGUACAGAUAAGAUGGGACCUUGCAAUGUGUUUCAGACUCCAAUGAUAAUACUGAAUAGGAAACAACAUUGACCAAGCAUUACCCACAUUUUUUGGCCUCCUCCGGGGUUGUGAUUCUGGGUGAUGUGGGAAACUGAGUGAAUACAAUAUUACUUUAAGCUUGUUGUAUUUGACUGUGUCCAUGUAUGCAUGCUGUAACAAGAGAGUCUCUGACAUUUGUGUUGUAAUAAACAUACUUGAGAAAG